rnacentral:rRNA from 1 species
AUGAAGCCGGAAUCGCUAGUAAUCGCGGAUCAGAAUGCCGCGGUGAAUACGUUCCCGGGUCUUGUACACACCGCCCGUCACACCAUGGGAGUCGGGAAUGCCCGAAGUCAGUGACCCAACCCAAGGGAGGGAGCUGCCGAAGGCAGGCCUGGUGACUGGGGUGAAGUCGUAACAAGGUACC